rnacentral:rRNA from 1 species
UACGUAGGGUGCGAGCGUUAAUCGGAAUUACUGGGCGUAAAGCGUGCGCAGGCGGUUUGCUAAGACAGGUGUGAAAUCCCCGGGCUUAACCUGGGAACUGCGCUUGUUACUGGCAGGCUUGAGUGUGGCAGAGGGGGGUGGAAUUCCGACGUGUAGCAGUGAAAUGCGUAGAGAUGUGGAGGAACACCGAUGGCGAAGGCAGCCCCCUGGGCUAACACUGACGCUCAUGCACGAAAGCGUGGGGAGCAAACAGG